UCUUGCUCAGGUGUGUUUGAUUAGGGUUAGAGCUCAACUCUGCAGGAAAGUGGAUCUCGAGGUCCAGAUCGGAGGAUUCCUGUUCUGUGAUCUGCUGGUGAUCAGAUCGGACUCAUCUGCAUUGCUAAACUACAGACAGGUGAAUGUCAGAAACCAUCUCUGAUAACCACAGCCAUGCUGACCUUUUCAAAAGGAGAUGAACCUUCACCGAUCGUCAUUUCAACUGUGUCAGACGCUGAUAAUAUCUGAGUCGUUAAUUUGCUCUGUGAUCUGUUUCCGCCCGUGGCUGUGAUUUUAACACACCCUCAUUAGUGCACAUGAUUAAUUAGACUUGUCACUGACAUGAGCGAUGCUGCUGUGAUCCAAAUAUCGAAUCUUCCACCAAAGCCUCUUUACACAUGUUUGUUUUUUUAAUAAAGAUCUUGAAGAUGCUGCUGAUGUAUAUUAUUCUCUACUCAAUGUUUCCUGAACAUUAAAGGCGUUCCGCUGAGUUUCAGACGCUGUCAGACAGAAAAUGAUGUGGAUUAAUAUUUAGUGUAAGUGUUAAACAGACUGAUGAUGACUGCUGUAAACAUCUGAAGAUUGUACUGCUGAAUGAUUAAAUACAGAAGUAUGAGAGAA